GAUGAACGCUGGCGGCGUGCCUAAUACAUGCAAGUCGAGCGAACAGACGAGGAGCUUGCUCCUCUGACGUUAGCGGCGGACGGGUGAGUAACACGUGGAUAACCUACCUAUAAGACUGGGAUAACUUCGGGAAACCGGAGCUAAUACCGGAUAAUAUAUUGAACCGCAUGGUUCAAUAGUGAAAGACGGUUUUGCUGUCACUUAUAGAUGGAUCCGCGCCGCAUUAGCUAGUUGGUAAGGUAACGGCUUACCAAGGCGACGAUGCGUAGCCGACCUGAGAGGGUGAUCGGCCACACGGGAACUGAGACACGGUCCAGACUCCUAAGGGAGGCAGCAGUAGGGAAUCUUCCGCAAUGGGCGAAAGCCUGACGGAGCAACGCCGCGUGAGUGAUGAAGGUCUUCGGAGCGUAAAACUCUGUUAUUAGGGAAGAACAAAUGUGUAAGUAACUAUGCACGUCUUGACGGUACCUAAUCAGAAAGCCACGGCUAACUACGUG
rnacentral:rRNA from 1 species